CCUACGGGAGGCAGCAGUAGGGAAUUUUCCGCAAUGGGCGAAAGCCUGACGGAGCAAUACCGCGUGAGGGAUGACUGCCUAUGGGUUGUAAACCUCUUUUUUCAGGGAGGAAUAAAUGACGUGUACCUGAAGAAUAAGCAUCGGCUAACUCCGUGCCAGCAGCCGCGGUAAGACGGAGGAUGCAAGUGUUAUCCGGAAUCACUGGGCGUAAAGCGUCUGUAGGUGGCUCAACAAGUCAACUGUUAAAUCUUGAAGCUCAACUUCAAAAUCGCAGUCGAAACUAUUGAACUAGAGUAUAGUAGAGGUAAAGGGAAUUUCCAGUGGAGCGGUGAAAUGCGUAGAGAUUGGAAAGAACACCAAUGGCGAAGGCACUUUACUGGGCUAUUACUGACACUCAGAGACGAAAGCUAGGGUAGCAAAUGGGAUUAGAUACCCCAGUAGUCCUAGCCGUAAACAAUGGAUACUAGGUGUUGAACAGAUCGACCUGUGCAGUACUAAAGCUAACGCGUUAAGUAUCCCGCCUGGGAAGUAUGCACGCAAGUGUGAAACUCAAAUGAAUUGACGG
rnacentral:rRNA from 1 species